rfam:Lentinula edodes NBRC 111202 DNA, contig: scaffold407.
GGUGAGAUGGCCGAGCGGUCUAAGGCGCCAGACUAAGGAGAUCAACAUACUUGGUGUGUAUUAUAAUCUGGUCACAUUGUGGCGUGGGUUCGAAUCCCACUCUCAUCA